UCAAAUAGCAAGCUCAACGAUCCCUAUCGCCAAAUAUGUGUGCCCCGCUGAAUAAUAUGUGUGCCUCCUGAGCCGUAUAUUCGUGUGCUUGUCGAAUAAUCCGUGUGCCGGCUGAAUAUGUGUGCCUUCGCUGGAGCGUACUACGUUGUUCCGCGCUCCGCCCGUGAGGAGUGACGUGGCACCGCGUAUUCUACCGCAGUGCAUUCGUCGCUGUGUUCGUGCCUGUUAUGUGCGCUGCAACCUCGCCUUUGAAAGGACGACAACCUUGCUUUUUAAUUACAAGUUUAAUGUUUGCUUAAGACGAUGGACACAUUGCAAAUGGCGGCAGGAGUGGAUCGGCUACAUCGGUGAAGCGACGAUUUAUAUUACAAGCGAGGCUAAUUGUAUUCUUUCGUUAUAGGUGAACGUGGGACUGUAUCGACUGCAAGGACGUAGUGUCCUGUCUCAACGGUCACGCAUAUGCGUGCAAAACUGCAACUGCUUCUCACAUCGAAGAGGGGUCUGGUGCCACAUGCUCGGACAAUUAUUCGUCGGCCAUUUCGUUUGAGGAACUGUCGUGUUCGUCACUAAGGAUGGUCUUGGUUGAGCUUUGCAGUGCCAGCCUGGUGCAUCGGAGGGGUUGUGUCCAUGCAACGUGUGCUCCAUAUGUGUGUGUUGGGAUUAGUAAACCGUGUAUGCUUUCCAUUCGGCCAACGAUGAUGUACUGGAUGAAAUUUAAAGGUGCAUUUCCCAAAUGCUGCAGUGGCUGUGCAUUUGGUGCUCGUGGAAAUUUCUUGUGUCCUGAGUAAUUAGCAGAGAGGCACUCCCCUGAAUUAUGUAUGAGUAAUUCAACUCCUCAUUUAUUGGACUGCGUACAUGUGGAUAGAUUCACAGUUUCUGGCUGCUGGCAUUUGUGAGAACUAUAGCAUC